rnacentral:misc_RNA from 1 species
CCCACUUACCCGCCUUGGAAUGCAUAUAUAUGCAAUUAAUUACUCGAUCGUUCCGGGGUCAGUACAGUUUAUUUGAUCAUGCAAACAAAUAUUGCUGACAAGUGUUCGGGCGUAACGUCCUGGUCCAUGCAUGACGGGUGACAUCAUCAUUUGUGUGUAUGUGUGAGCUACACGUUUUGUUUGUGACAUAGUAGGUCACGGACAGCGAUAUACUUUCAAGAGGAAUAAGACCGACUACUGUGAUAUCUUCCCUGCCAGACUACAUGGAUCCUGAUCGACGGAAACCCAACACAAAUGGUGUUCUUUAUCAAUAUUAUGUACGACAUACCUGUGUUCUGCAAUUACCCAAAUGAACACCAGAUAGUGUCAUCUAUCAAUAGCUUGCGUCUGUAUUAGACGCUUUGUGACAAUGAUAAUAAUGUGGUUUGAUAAGAUAGUUGGUUUGAUUAUACUUUCACGCCAUCUGACGUAGACGAUACAAUCACUUGAUAAGUUAGUAUAAAAAUGCACCAGAUCAAUGUCUGCAUAACCCGGACGUAGUUUGCUGUAAUAAUGUCUUCAGUAACGUACAAAAGUCUAGGUAAAGAUGGAGAUGAGGAUAUGAAAGUUCAAGUCCGUGAAAUCCCCCACAAGAAACCAACGACGACAUGCUUUGUCUACCUUCUGACGUUCUCUGCGACAAUCAGCGGCUUUCUGAUGGGCUACGACAUCGGCGUCGUGUCCGGGUCCAUGUUGCUGAUCGUGCCGCACUUCCAUCUCGACACGGUGUGGACGGAAGCCAUCGUCAGUGCCAUAGUCGGAGCUGCCGCUCUGUUUGCUCUUUCGUCUGGGUAUCUCGCUGAUGUGUUUGGAAGAAAGAAGAUCAUCAUAUUUUCCAGUAUUGCCUUCGUCACUGGCGCCGUUAUCAUGGGAGCCUCGCCCACAAAGGAAAUACUACUACUUGGACGUCUAGUGGUUGGUGCUGGCAUAGGCCUGUCCAUAGCAACGGUAGCUGUCUAUAUAGCAGAAUCUGCUCCAGCACACAACAGGGGAGGUUUGGUGUCCUUGAAUCAGCUCUUUAUCACCAUAGGCAUUUUUGUAUCUAGUGUUAUAGUUGGUGGCUUCAGCGAAAUAGAAGACAUUGGAUGGAGAUUCAUGCUUGGUCUUCCUGGAGUGGCUGCGAUCAUUCAGCUGAUCGCCUUUCUGUUUUUACCAGAGAGCCCCAGGUGGCUUGUGGGUAGAGGCAGAGACGAAGAGGCACGCGCUGUACUUGAGAGGAUUCGUGGAACAGACGACAUCGCGAAGGAGUUUAAUGAGAUCCAGGAAACCGUGGUGGAAGACAAGCUGAGUGGAGACGGUUUCAUCAUCACGAAGGUUUGCUCAACGCCUCACGUCAGACGCGCUCUUCUGGUUGGCUGCAUGCUGAUGUUCUUCCAGCAGAUGUGUGGCAUCAACACGGUCAUAUACUACAGUGCCACCAUUAUGAAAAUGGCGGGGUUUUCAAGCAAACACUCAAUCUGGAUGGUUACUGUGCCAAAUGGCGUCAAUUUCCUUUCAACAUUCAUCGGGUUGUGGCUUGUAGACAGACUUGGACGAAAAAUAAUUACACUUGUCAGUAUAGCAGGUGUGUGUGUGGCUUUGUGUAUCCUUGCCACUGGUUUCCAGUUGGCUGCCCUGAAUGCUCCACCUGUAAAUUUUACGGAAUCGUUCAGCAAUGGAACUCUGUACAACUCGUCAUGUGCAUCAUACACGCCUUGGACCUAUGCCUUUGACAAUCAACGCCGAGAUAUACCCACUGUGGGCUAGGAGCACGUGCAGUGCAAUUGCAAUGUGCGUCAACUGGUCUUUCAACCUGGUCGUCUCUUUCACCUUCUUGACCCUCACGGAAACAAUAACCAGAUAUGGGACGUUCUGGCUGUAUGCAGGAGCAUGUGUAUGCGGGUUUAUAGCAAUAGCGAUCUUUCUGCCCGAAACGAAACAAAAGACAUUAGAAGAAAUGGAACAGAUAUUCUUGUCGAAAAAAGAGAGAAAGAAACGUCAGU